AUUGAACGCUGGCGGCAUGCCUUACACAUGCAAGUCGAACGGUAACAGGUCUUCGGAUGCUGACGAGUGGCGAACGGGCGAGUAAUACAUCGGAACGUGCCUAGUAGUGGGGGAUAACUACUCGAAAGAGUGGCUAAUACCGCAUGAGAUCUACGGAUGAAAGCAGGGGAUCGCAAGACCUUGUGCUACUAGAGCGGCCGAUGGCAGAUUAGGUAGUUGGUGGGAUAAAAGCUUACCAAGCCGACGAUCUGUAGCUGGUCUGAGAGGACGAUCAGCCACACUGGGACUGAGACACGGCCCAGACUCCUACGGGAGGCAGCAGUGGGGAAUUUUGGACAAUGGGCGCAAGCCUGAUCCAGCAAUGCCGCGUGCAGGAUGAAGGCCUUCGGGUUGUAAACUGCUUUUGUACGGAACGGAAAGCCCUGGGUUAAUACCCUGGGGUCAUGACGGUACCGUAAGAAUAAGCACCGGCUAACUACGUGCCAGCCGCCGCCGUAAAAC
rnacentral:rRNA from 1 species